AUUGAACGCUGGCGGCAGGCCUAACACAUGCAAGUCGAACGAGUGGCGGACGGGUGAGUAAUGUCUGGGAAACUGCCCGAUGGAGGGGGAUAACUACUGGAAACGGUAGCUAAUACCGCAUACCAUCGGAUGUGCUCAGAUGGGAUUAGCUAGUAGGGGGGUUAACGGCUCACCUAGGCGACGAUCCCUAGCUGGUCUGUGAGGAUGACCAGCCGACCUUGAACUUAGACACGGUCCAGCCUCCAACGGGAGGCUGCAGUGGGGAAUAUUUCACAAAUGGCGCAAGCGUGAGGCUACCAUGCCGGUUGUAUGAAGAAGGCCUUCGGGUUGUAAAGUACUUUCAGCGGGGAGGCGUUCCUCGCAGAAGAAGCACCGGCUAACUCCGUGCCAGCCGCCUCUGUAAUUC
rnacentral:rRNA from 1 species